rfam:Dipodomys ordii contig_61677, whole genome shotgun sequence.
AGGAAUUUGGCUUAGUGAUAGAGUGCUUGUCUAUCAUGCAUGAAGCUGUGGGUUCAAUUCCUCAGUACCGC